UACAGAGGUGGCAAGCGUUGUUCGGAAUUACUGGGCGUAAAGGGCGCGUAGGCGGUCUUUUAAGUCUUGUGUGAAAUCCCUCGGCUUAACUGAGGAACUGCACGGGAUACUGGAUAACUUGAGUUCGGGAGAGGGAAGCGGAAUUCCGGGUGUAGCGGUGAAAUGCGUAGAUAUCCGGAGGAACACCGGUGGCGAAGGCGGCUUCCUGGACCGACACUGACGCUGAGGCGCGAAAGCUAGGGGAGCAAACGGG
rnacentral:rRNA from 1 species